rnacentral:rRNA from 1 species
GUUAUACAAAUUAUGCAAAUAAAUUUUAUUAGUUUAAGUAAAAUUUAUUUUNAAAAAAUAAAAANUAAUUUUAUUAGGUGAAAUUUUGAAAUUAUUUAAUUUUUAUUUUGAAUUAUUGAAUCUUAAAAAUUUUAUAAAAAAACUAGGAUUAGAUACCCUAUUAUUUAAAAUAUAAUUAUUUAUACUAAAGUAGUAUUAGUUAUGUUCUUGAAAUUUAAAAAAUUUGGCGGUAUUUUAGUCUAUUUAGAGGAAUCUGUUCUAUAAUCGAUAAUCCACGAUGGACCUUACUUAUAUUUGUAUUCAGUUUUUAUACCGUCGUUAUAAGAAUAUUUUUUAAAAAUAAUAAUUUUCAAUAUUUUUUAUAAAAAUUUAUAUCAGAUCAANGGUGAAGCUUAUAUAUAAGAAGAAAUGGAUUACAAUAAAUUUAUUUAUGGAUUUUUAAAUGAAAAUUUAUUAUGAAAUUGGAUUUAAAUGUAAAAUUAUAUAGAUUAAUAAUUUGAU